rnacentral:rRNA from 1 species
UGUGAGCUCGAUGAGUAGGGCGGGACACGUGGUAUCCUGUCUGAAUAUGGGGGGACCAUCCUCCAAGGCUAAAUACUCCUGACUGACCGAUAGUGAACCAGUACCGUGAGGGAAAGGCGAAAAGAACCCCGGCGAGGGGAGUGAAAAAGAACCUGAAACCGUGUACGUACAAGCAGUGGGAGCACGCUUAGGCGUGUGACUGCGUACCUUUUGUAUAAUGGGUCAGCGACUUAUAUUCUGUAGCAAGGUUAACCGAAUAGGGGAGCCGAAGGGAAACCGAGUCUUAACUGGGCGUUAAGUUGCAGGGUAUAGACCCGAAACCCGGUGAUCUAGCCAUGGGCAGGUUGAAGGUUGGGUAACACUAACUGGAGGACCGAACCGACUAAUGUUGAAAAAUUAGCGGAUGACUUGUGGCUGGGGGUGAAAGGCCAAUCAAACCGGGAGAUAGCUGGUUCUCCCCGAAAGCUAUUUAGGUAGCGCCUCGUGAAUUCAUCUCCGGGGGUAGAGCACUGUUUCGGCAAGGGGGUCAUCCCGACUUACCAACCCGAUGCAAACUGCGAAUACCGGAGAAUGUUAUCACGGGAGACACACGGCGGGUGCUAACGUCCGUCGUGAAGAGGGAAACAACCCAGACCGCCAGCUAAGGUCCCAAAGUCAUGGUUAAGUGGGAAACGAUGUGGGAAGGCCCAGACAGCCAGGAUGUUGGCUUAGAAGCAGCCAUCAUUUAAAGAAAGCGUAAUAGCUCACUGGUCGAGUCGGCCUGCGCGGAAGAUGUAACGGGGCUAAACCAUGCACCGAAGCUGCGGCAGCGACGCUGAUGCGUUGUUGGGUAGGGGAGCGUUCUGUAAGCCUGUGAAGGUGUACUGUGAGGUAUGCUGGAGGUAUCAGAAGUGCGAAUGCUGACAUAAGUAACGAUAAAGCGGGUGAAAAGCCCGCUCGCCGGAAGACCAAGGGUUCCUGUCCAACGUUAAUCGGGGCAGGGUGAGUCGACCCCUAAGGCGAGGCCGAAAGGCGUAGUCGAUGGGAAACAGGUUAAUAUUCCUGUACUUGGUGUUACUGCGAAGGGGGGACGGAGAAGGCUAUGUUGGCCGGGCGACGGUUGUCCCGGUUUAAGCGUGUAGGCUGGUUUUCCAGGCAAAUCCGGAAAAUCAAGGCUGAGGCGUGAUGACGAGGCACUACGGUGCUGAAGCAACAAAUGCCCUGCUUCCAGGAAAAGCCUCUAAGCAUCAGGUAACAUCAAAUCGUACCCCAAACCGACACAGGUGGUCAGGUAGAGAAUACCAAGGCGCUUGAGAGAACUCGGGUGAAGGAACUAGGCAAAAUGGUGCCGUAACUUCGGGAGAAGGCACGCUGAUAUGUAGGUGAAGUCCCUCGCGGAUGGAGCUGAAAUCAGUCGAAGAUACCAGCUGGCUGCAACUGUUUAUUAAAAACACAGCACUGUGCAAACACGAAAGUGGACGUAUACGGUGUGACGCCUGCCCGGUGCCGGAAGGUUAAUUGAUGGGGUCAGCGCAAGCGAAGCUCUUGAUCGAAGCCCCGGUAAACGGCGGCCGUAACUAUAACGGUCCUAAGGUAGCGAAAUUCCUUGUCGGGUAAGUUCCGACCUGCACGAAUGGCGUAAUGAUGGCCAGGCUGUCUCCACCCGAGACUCAGUGAAAUUGAACUCGCUGUGAAGAUGCAGUGUACCCGCGGCAAGACGGAAAGACCCCGUGAACCUUUACUAUAGCUUGACACUGAACAUUGAGCCUUGAUGUGUAGGAUAGGUGGGAGGCUUUGAAGUGUGGACGCCAGUCUGCAUGGAGCCGACCUUGAAAUACCACCCUUUAAUGUUUGAUGUUCUAACGUUGACCCGUAAUCCGGGUUGCGGACAGUGUCUGGUGGGUAGUUUGACUGGGGCGGUCUCCUCCUAAAGAGUAACGGAGGAGCACGAAGGUUGGCUAAUCCUGGUCGGACAUCAGGAGGUUAGUGCAAUGGCAUAAGCCAGCUUGACUGCGAGCGUGACGGCGCGAGCAGGUGCGAAAGCAGGUCAUAGUGAUCCGGUGGUUCUGAAUGGAAGGGCCAUCGCUCAACGGAUAAAAGGUACUCCGGGGAUAACAGGCUGAUACCGCCCAAGAGUUCAUAUCGACGGCGGUGUUUGGCACCUCGAUGUCGGCUCAUCACAUCCUGGGGCUGAAGUAGGUCCCAAGGGUAUGGCUGUUCGCCAUUUAAAGUGGUACGCGAGCUGGGUUUAGAACGUCGUGAGACAGUUCGGUCCCUAUCUGCCGUGGGCGCUGGAGAAUUGAGGGGGGCUGCUCCUAGUACGAGAGGACCGGAGUGGACGCAUCACUGGUGUUCGGGUUGUCAUGCCAAUGGCACUGCCCGGUAGCUAAAUGCGGAAGAGAUAAGUGCUGAAAGCAUCUAAGCACGAAACUUGCCCCGAGAUGAGUUCUCCCUGACUCCUUGAGAGUCCUGAAGGAACGUUGAAGACGACGACGUUGAUAGGCCGGGUGUGUAAGCGCAGCGAUGCGUUGAGCUAACCGGUACUAAUGAACCGUGAGGCUUAACCUUACAACGCCGAAGGUGUUU